UGUUUGGAGAGUUUGAUCCUGGCUCAGGACGAACGCUGGCGGCGUGCUUAACACAUGCAAGUCGAACGGGAUCUGAUGGAGCUUGCUCUGUUGGUGAGAGUGGCGAACGGGUGAGUAACACGUGAGUAACCUGCCCUCAACAUUUGAAUAACUCCAUGAAAAUGGGGCUAAUGCAAUAUAUUCUGCAGCUGUCGCAUGGUGGUUGUGGGAAACGGUGCCUUUGGGUUUCUGGUUGGGGAUGGGCUCGCGGCCUAUCAGCUUGUUGGUGGGGUGAUGGCCUACCAAGGCGGUGACGGGUAGCCGGCCUGAGAGGGUGGACGGCCACACUGGGACUGAGAUACGGCCCAGACUCCUACGGGAGGCAGCAGUGGGGGAUUUUGCACAAUGGGCGCAAGCCUGAUGCAGCGACGCCGCGUGAGGGAUGACGGCCUUCGGGUUGUAAACCUCUUUCGCUAGGUUGGAAGACGCAUUUUGUUGUUGUUGACUUUAACUGGUAAAGAAGUACCGGCUAACUACGUGCCAGCAGCCGCGGUAAUACGUAGGGUACUAGCGUUGUCCGGAAUUAUUGGGCGUAAAGGGCUUGUAGGUGGUUUGUCGCGUCUGUCGUGAAAUCUCAGGGCUUAA
rfam:Actinomyces coleocanis DSM 15436 SCAFFOLD11 genomic scaffold, whole genome shotgun sequence.